CCAGCUUUGGAAGCUUUCUUACCCUUUUGUUCACCGUCUAUUUGAUUCAUUCAUACAUUAUACACACCAGAGAAGCUUCAGUCUUUCUUCAUAGAUAUAUUUCCCAUUUCAAAAUGGCGUCGUUCGAGUACAAUAGAGCAUGGGGAGUUAUUUUGCCUGUUCUCUUCUUGAUCUCAUCGAAUUCGCCAAGCUGGGUUCUUGGAGCUCCUCAAGUGCCGUGUUACUUCAUAUAUGGGGAUUCCUCGCUGAUAAUGGGAACAACAAACGAUCUCGAGACUCAGGCCAAAGCGAAUUAUCCUCCUUAUGGGAUUGACUUCCCCGACAGAGCCACCGGAAGGUUCACCAAUGGCCGCACCUCCGUCGAUAUCAUUGCCGGACUCCUGGGGUUUGACAGAUACAUUCAACCCUUUGCAUCUGCAAAAGGGAGCGAGAUACUCAUCGGUGUGAAUUAUGCAUCCGGUGGGGCAGGCAUUCGAGACGAAACAGGACAGCAACUGGGCGAUCGAAUAAGCUUGAACCAUCAAUUGCAAAACCAUUUGGUCACAAUCUCGCGCGUCAGAGACAUGUUGGGAUCGAAUGCUACGGCAUACUUAAACGAGUGCAUAUACACGAUAGGAAUGGGAAGCAACGAUUACAUCAACAACUACUUCAUGCCAGACGUAUAUCAGACCGGCAAGCUUUACAUGCCCGAGCAAUACGCCGAUGUACUAAUCAAGCAAUACCAACAACAGUUGAAGACAUUGUAUUCCUAUGGAGCAAGGAAGGUGGCAAUAUUUGGAUUAAGUGUGAUAGGUUGCGCCCCAACAAAAAUUUCAAGAUUUGGGACCAACGGAUCUCUGUGCGUCGACAAGAUCAACAUCGCGGUUAUGUUACUCAACGAUAGGCUCAAACCUCUCGUUGAUGAACUGAAUCGCAACCUGGCCGAUGCUAAGUUCACCUACAUAGACUUUUUUGGAAUCGCCAUUGCUGGACUGGGUUCUUGAGCUCCUCAAGUGCCGUGUUACUUCAUAUGGGGAUUCCCUCGCUGAUAACGGGAACAACAACGAUCUCGAGACUCAGGCCAAAGCGAAUUAUCCUCCUUAUGGGAUUGACUUCCCCGACAGAGCCACCGGAAGGUUCACCAAUGGCCGCACCUCCGUCGAUAUCAUUGCCGGACUCCUGGGGUUUGACAGAUACAUUCAACCCUUUGCAUCUGCAAAAGGGAGCGAGAUACUCAUCGGUGUGAAUUAUGCAUCCGGUGGGGCAGGCAUUCGAGACGAAACAGGACACCAACUGGGCGAUCGAAUCAGCUUGAACCAUCAAUUGCAAAACCAUUUGGUCACAAUCUCGCGUCGAGACAUGUUGGGAUCGAAUGCUACGGCAUACUUAAACAAGUGCAUAUACACGGUAGGAAUGGGAAGCAACGAUUACAUCAACAACUACUUCAUGCCAGACGUAUAUCAGACCGGCAAGCUUUACACGCCCGAGCAAUAUGCCGAUGUACUAAUCGAGCAAUACCAACAACAGUUGAAGACAUUGUAUUCCUAUGGAGCAAGGAAGGUGGCAAUAUUUGGAUUAAGUGUGAUUGGUUGCGCCCCAACAGAAAUUUCAAGAUUUGGGACCAACGGAUCUCUGUGCGUCGACAAGAUCAACAGCGCGGUUAUGUUAUUCAACGAUAGGCUCAAACCUCUUGUUGAUGAACUGAAUCGCAACCUGGUCGAUGCUAAGUUCACCUACAUAGACUUUUUUGGAAUCGCCACUGCUGGACUUCCAGCUCUCCGAGUUGCAGGUUCAACCUGUUGUAAGGUUCAGGAGGAUGGCAUGUGCAUUCCCUUCGAAACUCCAUGCUUGAUUAGGUUGUUGCACGCCUUCUAUGAUGGAUUUCACCCCACAGAGAUAGCGAAUUUGGUGUUUGGUGCAAGGGCUUACAAAGCUUUACUUUCUUCUGAUGCUUACCCUUUUGAUAUUCAUCAUCUUGCAAUGAUCUAAAGAAGAAAAUAGAGAGAUUAAGUGCUCGUGUGUGCAUAUUACUUCGAAAAGUUUCAAUUGAUAUUGAUCUAGUUGUUCAAUAAAAUCUCCAAGAUAGUUUGGCAAAUUUUAAUUCAUGUCGAUGCCAUUUUUGCCGAAAGGAUAUUUUUGAGAUGUGAGGGCAUUUUGAUUGAACAAUAAUGACAAUUUCAUG